AUGGAGCGCCUGCUUGGGCUGCUCAAGGUGAAGGUGGUCAGCGGGGUGAGCUUGGCCAUCUGCGACCCCCUCGCCCACAGCAGCGACCCCUACGUCGUCAUCUGCCUCGGACAGCAGAAAGUGAAGUCCGGUAUCAAAUAUAAAUCCACCAACCCGGAAUGGAACGAGGAGCUCACCCUGUCCAUCACAAACUGGACGCUCCCGGUUAAGAUUGAAGUCUUUGACCAUGAUACUUUCACCAAGGAUGACAGCAUGGGUGAUGCAGACUUCAGCAUCCUCGACUUUGUCGAGAUCGCCAAGAAGGACCUCAGCCACGUCCCUCACGACACCGUGAUGAAGACGAGACGAUCCACCCUGACAAGGGCAACUGCUUCUCCACCGAGAGCCACAUCACAUGGAAAGACGGCAAGGUCUCUCAGAACAUUGUCCUCAAGCUAA
rnacentral:rRNA from 1 species